AUUGAACGCUGGCGGCAUGCCUUACACAUGCAAGUCGAACGGCAGCACGGGUGCUUGCCCCUGGUGGUGAGUGGCGAACGGGUGAGUAAUACAUCGGAACAUGUCCUGUAGUGGGGGAUAGCCCGGCGAAAGCCGGAUUAAUACCGCAUACGAUCCACGGAUGAAAGCGGGGGCCCUUCGGGCCUCGCGCUAUAGGGUUGGCCGAUGGCUGAUUAGCUAGUUGGUGGGGUAAAGGCCUACCAAGGCGACGAUCAGUAGCUGGUCUGAGAGGACGACCAGCCACACUGGGACUGAGACACGGCCCAGACUCCUACGGGAGGCAGCAGUGGGGAAUUUUGGACAAUGGGCGAAAGCCUGAUCCAGCAAUGCCGCGUGUGUGAAGAAGGCCUUCGGGUUGUAAAGCACUUUUGUCCGGAAAGAAAUCCUUGACUCUAAUACAGUCGGGGGAUGACGGUACCGGAAGAAUAAGCACCGGCUAACUACGUG
rnacentral:rRNA from 1 species